UGGGGAUCUUGUUUCAAUCAUCACAGACUUUCUCCUAACCGCGGCUCUGAGAGUGUUUUCUUUAAGAUUUUCUUUCUUUUGUUGUGGGUUGUACAAAAAGGCUUUGUCGAAGUAGCCCUAAGCCUUGAAACUGAUCCUUGGUGGAAUCUACUACUGCAAGUAAGCACUGAAAGCAUUAGAUUUCUGAAAUGGAGUUCAUUUCAGUUGUGAUGUAGAUGAUGGGAUUGAGUGCGCCCUCAACAAGUUUGCUGAUGACACCAAGCUGAGUGGUGCGGUUGAUGCAGCAGAAGGAAGGAAUACCAUCCAGAAGGACCUUGAUAAACUUGAAAGGUGGGCCCUUUUGAACCUAGUGAGGUUCAACAAAACAAAGUGAAAGGUUUUGCACUUGGAUCAAAGCAAUCCCAGCUUGGAUACCAAUGGCAUCCUGGACUUCAUCAGAAGAGGAGUGGCCAGCAGGGACAGGGAGGUGAUUGUCUCUCUCUACUAUUCCCACGUGAGGCUCCAUCUGGAACACUGCAUCCAGGUCUGGGGCCCCCAAUACAGAAAAGAUGUGGAGCUGUUGUAGAGGGUCCAAAGGAGAGCCACACAGAUGAUCAGAGGGCUGGAGCACCUCCCCUGUGAAGACAGACUGAAGGAGCCAGGCUCAUUCAUGCUGGGG
ensembl:lncRNA